rnacentral:lncRNA from 1 species
GCUGCAGAAGAAACGGGAAGUCAAAUCUUUCCUUCAACUCGUCACUUUUGCCACUUCUUUUGUGUUUUCCUGCAGCCGCUCACUCCUGCACGUAGACACGUGAUUCGCCCAGCUGCAAAAUGGAGUGGGGCCUUGCACAACCCAAUUCAAGUUGUUGGUCAUAGUAGCGCUACUUCCGGGGUUCCCACAGGGGACCCUGGUUAUGCCCCCUCUACCUCCAGAGACACCACGGCCAACUCCUCCACAGUGAGGCCAGCCAUACGGACACAGACACCGGUGCAGUCGAGCACUUGUGGACACACACAGCCACAACCUGGCUCUUCAUCACACACACUGUCUCAGCCAAAACUUUACUCAAACUCGCAGCAACAUGACGGUACGACAGCACAUACAAAAGUGGAACUCCAUACAGUUCCUAUCCAAACCCCAUCUACCUCCACAAAUGCCAAGGCUUGCGCCAGCACAUCCAGAGCACCUACACCAGUACUUCGUCAGCCUCAGCCCAGCACAUCUGGACUCAUACAGCCACAAGCGGGUUCUUCAGUACACGUAACGGUGGAGCCUCAGGCGAGUACCUCUACCAGUGCCAUACACUAUUCUUGUGCGGUUGCAUCAAGUUCUUCUACAAAGUCUCAAGAAAAGGUGAGCACAAGUACUCAUUCACAAGACAAUCCUCAGGCCAGUACUUCGUCUGCACAGUCUUACACACGGACGCUGUCUCUGCCCGGUACAUCUACACAGCUCCAGUCCACAACCCUGCAGCCUCACCUCAUCCAGGUGACUGAGGUGAAAUUAGUCGUUUUUCCCCAGCAUCAUAGCAUCCAAGCCUCUGCUCUCAUAACCCAACCCCAGCUGCAGCUCAGGCCCCAAAACGUUCUGCAGCCUGUGUCGCUCACUCGCAUGCAGGGCAAUCUCAUUCAGAUUAAGCCACAGCCCCUGGCUCAGGCUCCUGCCCAGCCUCCAGUCCAGGCUCCUCAACCCCCUCAGGUGAUGCCGGUGAUCCCCCCUGCAGUGCUAAUAGCUGCAGCCCCAGAGAGACUGGGACCUCCCGAGGCAGGUCAUCGGAUCAUCCUGGGGAGCCAAGCGCCUGGGGAGGCUGUUCCCAAUCCUCCACCAGUGUGGUCCCACCAACGUGGUCCCAUCAGACUCCACAUCAGGGCUUCUAACUUAAACUUUAACCCUCCUGCUCCUCCAGCUCCCGCACCUUUAGUCCCCCACAUCGGGGGAAAUGCUCAUCUUGUUCUGGCUCUAGCUCCAAACCCAGAAAGGGUCAAUCCAGCCGCUGGUCUGGUCGCGGUCCCUCCCGCACCGGAGGACAUUCCCAGAAUAGAGGAUGCAAGGCCCGGUCCCUCUGCACCACGAGGGAGAGAGGAGCAGCUGCCCCUCGUUAGAACCCUUAUCACUGGUGUUGUGAGUAUCACUCGGUGA